AUGAACGCUAGCUACAGGCUUAACACAUGCAAGUCGAGGGGCAGCAUGGUCUUAGCUCGCUAAGGCCGAUGGCGACCGGCGCACGGGUGAGUAACACGUAUCCAACCUGCCGUCUACUCUUGGACAGCCUUCUGAAAGGAAGAUUAAUACAAGAUGGCAUCAUGAGUCCGCAUGUUCACAUGAUUAAAGGUAUUCCGGUAGACGAUGGGGAUGCGUUCCAUUAGAUAGUAGGCGGGGUAACGGCCCACCUAGUCUUCGAUGGAUAGGGGUUCUGAGAGGAAGGUCCCCCACAUUGGAACUGAGACACGGUCCAAACUCCUACGGGAGGCAGCAGUGAGGAAUAUUGGUCAAUGGGCGAGAGCCUGAACCAGCCAAGUAGCGUGAAGGAUGACUGCCCUAUGGGUUGUAAACUUCUUUUAUAAAGGAAUAAAGUCGGGUAUGUAUACCCGUUUGCAUGUACUUUAUGAAUAAGGAUCGGCUAACUCCGUGCCAGCAGCCGCGGUAAUACGGAGGAUCCGAGCGUUAUCCGGAUUUAUUGGGUUUAAAGGGAGCGUAGAUGGAUGUUUAAGUCAGUUGUGAAAGUUUGCGGCUCAACCGUAAAAUUGCAGUUGAUACUGGAUAUCUUGAGUGCAGUUGAGGCAGGCGGAAUUCGUGGUGUAGCGGUGAAAUGCUUAGAUAUCACGAAGAACUCCGAUUGCGAAGGCAGCCUGCUAAGCUGCAACUGACAUUGAGGCUCGAAAGUGUGGGUAUCAAACAGGAUUAGAUACCCUGGUAGUCCACGCUGUAAACGAUGAUUACUAGGUGUGGGGGGUCUGACCCCUUCCGUGCCGGAGUUAACACAAUAAGUAAUCCACCUGGGGAGUACGGCCGCAAGGUUGAAACUCAAAGGAAUUGACGGGGGCCCGCACAAGCAGUGGAGUAUGUGGUUUAAUUCGACGCAACGCGAAGAACCUUACCAGGGCUUGACAUAUAAGUGAAUAAUUAAGAGAUUAGUUAGCUCUUCGGAGCACUUAUACAGGUGGUGCAUGGUUGUCGUCAGCUCGUGCCGUGAGGUGUCGGCUUAAGUGCCAUAACGAGCGCAACCCCCAUCCGCAGUUGCCAGCAGGUAAAGCUGGGGACUCUGCGGAGACUGCCGGCGCAAGCUGAGAGGAAGGCGGGGAUGACGUCAAAUCAGCACGGCCCUUACGUCCGGGGCUACACACGUGUUACAAUGGGGGGUACAGAGGGCCGCUACCACGCGAGUGGAUGCCAAUCCCAAAAACCUCUCUCAGUUCGGACUGGAGUCUGCAACCCGACUCCACGAAGCUGGAUUCGCUAGUAAUCGCGCAUCAGCCACGGCGCGGUGAAUACGUUCCCGGGCCUUGUACACACCGCCCGUCAAGCCAUGGGAGCCGGGGGUACCUGAAGUGCGUAACCGCGAGGAGCGCCCUAGGGUAAAACUGGUGACUGGGGCU
rnacentral:rRNA from 1 species